ensembl:lncRNA
GUUAUGUGUCUGUGGAGGGAGAGAAAGGAAAAGUCCGAGCUGUCACGGAGCAAAAACGGGAGCUGGAAGCAUGUAAAUAUAAUAAUAACCACUGCAGCCAAGAAGAGUGCCUGACGAGCCCAUUUCUCGUCUGACUGUGAGUCCCAGCAGCUCUCAGUUAUUUGAAGGAGACUUCGUGUCUCUGAGCUGUGAGGAGGACGACAGCUCUGCUGGAUGGACUCUGAGGACCAAAAAUAAGAUCACUCAGUGUGGAGAUGGGUGAGGAACAUCAUCUAAUUCUUCCUGUGACAUCAGCUACACCAUUGAAUGAGACAGUUGAGUUUACUGGUGUGAGUCCAGAGAGGGUCCCAUCAGUAACAUGGUUAACCUGACAGUCACUGUUUUCCACACCCGAGACUCAGUAUUAGUGACUCAACUGUUUACACACCUGGUCUCUCGAUGCUGGCCUACUUUGCUUCCAAGUUCAUACUGGACAUUCACCUGCCUGCCCUCCUGUUCUCAUCAAUCCUCUGGACUUUGGAAAGAACAAUAUUGGACAUCUUGGAUUCUCACUCCUCUGCUCCAUCAGACCCUCUCCUGGAUUCCUCUCCCUCAAUAUCACUGCUCU